UCAAGCUAGUAGGAAGUCAAAGCUUACCUAACUGCCAGUUCUAGCUCCUAAAUGCAAUGUGCAUAACCUUUAAAUCCAGCACAGAUUCAUGGUGAAGAAGGAAUGUAAACAAUUCUAAUAUUAAAACCUGAGCUCAGAAAAGUUCCUGUGCUGGCUGGAGGAUCCUGGGAGUUGUCAUCUAAAAAGAAACUUUCCCAAUCUCCAAGUGAAAGGCUACCAGCUGAGCUCUGUCAGUUAUUUAGCCAGAAAAACAGACUGGCAUCCCAACAACAGUGACUGGUAAUGGAACAGGCUUUGUUAUGAAACCUGCCCUGUUGUAUCAUAAGAGUUCCCCUCUCUUGUUUUCACAAAUUAAUUCCUACUGGCUUGAAUGAGUACAGCUCACAUGGAUUCAAGCUGGCAGAAGAAUGGUAAACAAAGGGCCAUGCAGAGUAUUGAUUGACAAGCCGUGCAUACAGGGAAUCACCACAAGGCUGGGACUUUGCUGACUUAAUAGAAGGCACGAAGAAGAUCUGGGAAGGGAGCCACGUAGCCCAUUAAAUGCAAUUGAGAGAUGGGAUGAAAAAGAUACUGCCAGAGUGGUGGAUGGAUGAAGAGACAAAAAGCAUAACAGCAGGAAUGAGCCCUGGAAAAGCAAGUGGGAGCAAUGUCUGCAAGGAACAAUUAAUGAGACAGAUACCAGGAGGGACUGACAAAUCUGAAAAAUUCUUUUGAGCACAAGCCCCUUCCCUCAUCUCCUCAGAAUAUAAGAGCCCUACUAGAUCAGACCAAAGGCUUCUCUACUUCCAACAUUAUGCUUCCAGUGAUGAAACCUACCUAUGUCUCCUUUUCAGAUUUCCUCCAAUAACAAGUUAACUCUAGAAGGAGUAUUAACCAAACAAAACUACAAAGUGACAUAUCUUCCUAUGAAAGCUUGCCUGAACUCUACAGUCUUUGGAAGAGACACAUCUCACAAUCCCAUAACCUUCACAAGUAUAUUUGGUAUUUGUAUUUGAAGGGAUUUCACUCUAUACAGUUAUCUGAAUUUAUAGCCUCCAAGCUGUAUUCCUAUUGUAUUUGUACUAUACCAUUUGCAUUGUUUUGUUUAGUUUUUUUUCCUAUUGGGCAUUGUAUAAUAUUGUACUUUUUAUAUUGUUUUAUGCUGGUCAUCGACCAUAAUAAAUUUAAUUUCAUUUCAAGUAUGUUUGGUGGGAAUGCAGCAAAGGGCUUCACCAUGGCUGUUCUUCGACUGUGGAAGUACCUUCCUUGGGAGGUGAGGUUGGCUCACUCCUUGCUGUCUUUCCACUGUCAAAUGACAACUUUUGUAUGCCAGGUGUUUAUCAACCCAGGAGCCCUGCCUGGGAUCAAAUUCAUAACCUCGACUCAGGCUUGCAUCCUUCCGAGGUUGCUAAAAUGAGUACCCAGAC